rnacentral:rRNA from 1 species
GUAGUCAUAUGCUUGUCUCAAAGAUUAAGCCAUGCAUGUCUAAGUAUAAGCAAUUAUACAGCGAAACUGCGAAUGGCUCAUUAUAUAAGUUAUCGUUUAUUUGAUAGUACCUUACUACUUGGAUAACCGUGGUAAUUCUAGAGCUAAUACAUGCUAAAAAUCCCGACUUCGGAAGGGAUGUAUUUAUUAGAUUAAAAACCAAUGCCCUUCGGGGCUCACUGGUGAUUCAUAAUAACUUCUCGAAUCGCAUGGCCUUGCGCCGGCGAUGGUUCAUUCAAAUUUCUUCCCUAUCAACUUUCGAUGCUAGAGUAGUGUUCUACCAUGGUUACAACGGGUAACGGAGGGUUAGGGCUCGACCCCGGAGAAGGAGCCUGAGAAACGGCUACUACAUCCAAGGAAUGCAGCAGGCGCGCAAAUUACCCAAUCCCGACACGGGGAGGUAGCGACGAUAAAU